UCUUAGGAAAGAGGUGGAGCCUGUAGAUGAUUAUUUCAACCAUGAGGUACGAACUAAUGACAAGUACAGGGAUGCUUAUUGGAAGACUGGGGAUCACUACGAAACCGGUACAGGCUACAACCCAGAGGGCGACAGCUACGCUAAAUCUAUAGAGGGCGGCUUCAGGCGGCUAGCAUUGCCACCACCUAGAACCACAAACUUCUGACCGCCUUGAGUUAUUUAGUAAUGAACCCAAUUUACACCUGUUAUCCCCAUCUUCCAAAAAUAUAUACGUUGUCCGUGUCACGUGUUUAUUAUGUUUAUUUAACUGGCAGAUCUUGAUGUUAUAAACAUAUGUGGGUUCGGAGGUGCCUUGAUUAAGUUCAAACACUUUAAUAAUCAAUG
rnacentral:sRNA from 1 species